rnacentral:lncRNA from 1 species
AGGUAAGGACACAGUCGGUAGUAAGGUACGUAAAAAGAGAUCUCUUAGAAGAACAUAGCAUAAGCAAGAUAAUUUAAGAAACAUCCUCCCAGAAGAUGAAUUUAAAAGAAUACUCGCAAUUUGACAUUAAAAGAGAGCACGGGUGGAGAGACUUAAGUGGGAAGAGGCCCCAGACCUAAAGCACGAGUAUCCCAUAUCCAGAACUUAAAAGGGAAGUAGAGACUAGAAUGAAAGGAAGUUGAAGAGUGACACCACAAAUCAUUAUGAAACUUGUAGUCAGUGUCUAGAAUCUAUUUAGUACAAUCAGUCGUACUUAAGCAAUUUUUUUUAUAUUUUUUACAAAGGCCUCCCUGGGUAACUGGGGAAAUAGAUUAGCAGUUAAAGACUGUUUGCUGCUCUGCCUGAGUGAGAGGCCGACCUGGGUUCCCAGUAGCCUCUUUAGGAACACACUCAACACCUGUAACUCAAGGCGACCCAUCACCCUCUUGGGGCCUCCUCUGGGGCCAGCCCUCACGCGCACAUACAUAGAAUGUUUCUUGAAGGCCUCCCAGAAGACAAGUCUGGUAUUUUUACUGUUUAUUUUUAUUAUGGUUUAUUUAUUGGGGAGUACUCAGAGGUCAGAGGUCAACUUCUGGAAUCAGUCCCUUCUACCACGUGGGUCUCAGGGGUGGAACUCAGGUGGGCAUGAUUGACAGCAAGCACCUUUCCCUGCUGAGCCAUCUCACCACUCUUGAUGGAGCAAAUGUUGAUGAACAAUAUCGUCCAUGAAACAUUCCAGGCAAAACUAACUUGAAUCUAUCAAGCCUUCACAUCAAACACGCAAUUUUUUUCAUUUUUUAUUAUAUAUAUAUAUAUAUACAUAUAUAUAUAUAUAUACACACACACACACACACAUAUAUGGGUUUCUGCAUGUAUGUCUGUGUACCAUGUUUGUUCCUGAUGCCCCCUGAAGUAAGAAGAGGGCAUCAGAUCCCCUGGAACUGGAGUUUCAGAAAUGAUGAGCUGCAUAUGGGUGCUGGGAAUCGAACCUGUGUCCUCUGGAAGAGCAGCUAGUGCUUUAACAGGGGAACCAUCUCUCCAGUGCCAGAUCACACAAUUUAUAAGAAAUACAACAGGCGAAAUAAGAAAUUCUGUGACGUUUCAGAGCAUAACUGGUGUAUACGCUUCAAAAUGUAUCGGCCUGAAAAAAAAAAAAAACAAUGGUUGUAUAAAAAAAAUUAAAAAAGCAAAACUUGUGGACAUUACAGCCUGCCCCAGAUCCUAUUCUGAACAGACAAGCUAUAAAACACCUUUCAGGACAGUUGAAAGAUGAAUGAAAACAUGGAAUAUUUGAUAAGAUGAAACUGUGUUGCCAUACAAACCUUGGGGGGUCAUUAAGAAAAUGGUAUGUGUGUAACACUAUCUUGGUUUUAAAAAAUUAAAUAUCUGUAUAUAUGGACG